rnacentral:rRNA from 1 species
UGGCGCACGGGUGAGUAACACGUGGAUAAUGUGCCAUUUAGUGGGGAAUAACUGACCGAAAGGUCAGCUAAUACCGCAUGAGACCACAGUCCCUGAGGGGACCGAGGUUAAAGAUUUAUCGCUAAAUGAUCAGUCUGCGUAAGAUUAGCUAGUUGGUGAGGUAAUGGCUCACCAAGGCAACGAUCUUUAGGUGGUCUGAGAGGAUGACCACCCACACUGGAACUGAGACACGGUCCAGACUCCUACGGGAGGCAGCAGUAGGGAAUAUUGCACAAUGGGGGAAACCCUGAUGCAGCGACGCCGCGUGAGUGAUGAAGGCCUUCGGGUCGUAAAGCUCUGUUGAACGGGAAGAAACAAAUGACGGUACCGUUUAAGAAAGGAUCGGCUAACUUCGUGCCAGCAGCCGCGGUAAUACGAGGGAUCCUAGCGUUGUUCGGAAUCAUUGGGCGUAAAGAGUAUGUAGGCGGCCUAGUAAGUCAGUUGUGAAAGCCCCGGGCUCAACCCGGGAAGUGCAAUUGAUACUGCUUGGCUUGAAUGUGGAAGAGGGCAGUAGAAUUCCAGGUGUAGUGGUGAAAUACGUAGAUAUCUGGAGGAAUACCGGUGGCGAAGGCGGCUGCCUGGUCCUACAUUGACGCUGAGAUACGAAAGCGUGGGGAGCAAACAGGAUUAGAUACCCUGGUAGUCCACGCUGUAAACGAUGAACACUUGUUGUUGGAGGUAUUGACCCCUUCAGUGACGAAGCUAACGCGUUAAGUGUUCCGCCUGGGGAGUACGGUCGCAAGAUUAAAACUCAAAGAAAUUGACGGGGGCCCGCACAAGCGGUGGAGCAUGUGGUUUAAUUCGAUGCAACGCGAAAAACCUUACCUAGGCUCGAAAUGUACAGGAAGUUAGCAGAGAUGUUAACGUCUUCGGACCUG